UGGAAUCACUUCCGCACAAACU
rnacentral:miRNA from 11 species